GAUUACGAAAGGUUUUAGAUGCCAACAUGAAUCACCUCCAGUAUGGAUGGGCCUCUUGUAAACGUCAGGGAUAUCAUUCUCAUUGUUAGUGGGUGAACCUCUGUUGGUUGUUUGUGACUGAAGGUUCAGUAAAUGAUGGAACAUUU